AUGCGCGGUGUAACAAGUGCGGUGACUACGUGUGCGUGACUGCGAGAAGCAUUUAUGAAAGCAAAAAUUCCGGCCGUGCUCGCCAUGAACCUUUAUUCUGUACGAAUCAGGCGCUGCUGAGUUACGCAAGAUGUACAGUGCGAGAAGCUUUAGCAAUCUGACUGCAUUCGAGAUGUAUAUGGAAGAGCCAUUCGAUUGGUAACAGUUUUCGACGCAGGAAUACGACUGGAAAAACCCAUCUCGUGCAGAGCCAGUCGUAUAGCCGUACAACAUGCAACCAGUAUGGACAAGCAUGGUCAACGUCCGGGUUAUCUCGGGAAAAACCUAACAGAUCCGAUAGCAGACUAGAGAAUGUGUAAUUGAUGAUGCCUCGCGGAAUCGAGAAUCACUGUAUAUAGUCGGCGCUUAUUAAUAGCGAAAUAUUUUAAUAAUUUUAUGUAUUUAUUUAUUUAUUCAUAAUUAAAUUAUAAGAUCAGUACACUUAUUUAUUAAUUAUUUAUAAAUUUUUUAACAAUGUCAAUAUUGGCACAGUUCAUUCUAUUAUCAGGUCGGUAUAAGUUCUUGUUCGUUUUUGCACUUUUUCUUUAUUAAAAUGAAACAAUCAAUACAGCAUAAAUCAAUCAUUUUCCGUUAUUUCCUACUUUUUUCCAUCUUUCUGGCAACAUGUGAAUAUAUUCGAUAAUAAAGGCUUUAUUAAAGGCUCUCUAAUCGGGACCCAUCGGCAAAGAACUUAUGCACCGAUCUAAUAUUUAUAACAAACUAGACUAGACCAUAUAAGACUUGAUCAGAAAUUAAAAAAUAAAUUAUUGAAGAAAAAUAGAGUAUGUUCUACAGAAAAUAAACAUUUCAAGAAUUGUUC
rnacentral:lncRNA from 1 species